UCCUUUUGUACAGGUUUCAGUUGGAGCUUGUCCCCAAACCACCUCCCAGGAAACCAUCCAAGGCCUCGGGAGAAGUCCCUGGUGAGGGCAAGCACGAGAAAGCAGAGCGUUUGCCACCUCUUGGCCAGAGCAAGAAAGUUCCAGGGAAAAUUCCUGAACUGCCACCCUUACCUGGCCGCUUGAGCAUUACCAGCAGAGAGGGCACAUGCUCUGCGAAGACAACAAGGGUCGACCAGAAGAGCUCUGUGUCCAGUCAAGUUCCAGUGGUCCCAGCGGUGUCUUCUGCCCAAAAGAUGGCUGUGCCUAGCAAAACCCAGGGCGAAGGCACUACCAAAAAAACAGCACCACUGACGGCUCCAGCACAGGCAACAAAAGCCCACAGGUGCAGAGAAGAACCAGGGCCGGUGAAGCCAGCGCUGACCAGUCAAGGUCAGCACAAACUUCCAGCCCGAGGAAAAGCACCAGAAACAGGUCGCACUCAUGGAGUGGAACCUCAGAGGUGCCAAGAAGAAAGAGGAGCGCUGAAGCCGGUGCUGCCCAGCCAGCUUCAGGGGAAACACGCAGCCAAAGCUCCAGCACAAGCGUCAGGUCGAGCUCAGGCAGUGGAAUCUCAAUGGUUCCGAAAACAAGGAGCAGUGAAGCCGGCACUGACCACCCAGUUUCAGGGCAAACUCAUCACCAC